CAGCAGCCGCGGUAAUACGAGGGGGGCAAGCGUUGUUCGGAAUUAUUGGGCGUAAAGGGUGCGUAGGCGGUUUGGCAAGUCUUGUGUGAAAUCUUCGGGCUCAACCCGAAGCCUGCACGAGAAACUGCCGGGCUUGAGUAUUGGAGAGGUGAGUGGAAUUUCCGGUGUAGCGGUGAAAUGCGUAGAUAUCGGAAGGAACACCUGUGGCGAAAGCGGCUCACUGGACAAUAACUGACGCUGAUGCACGAAAGCUAGGGGAGCAAACAGGAUUAGAUACCCGCGUAGUCCCUGUCUCUUAUAC
rnacentral:rRNA from 1 species